rnacentral:lncRNA from 1 species
CAAAAAAUAUUUUUUUAUAUUUAAUUAGUAUAACACAUAUUAAAGAUUAAAACAUCAAAAAAAAAAGUUAAUAUAUGGAUUGAUAGGGCUAAAAAAUAAUUCAAGGACUUUAAUAAAAAGCAGUUAAGACUACAAUAUUAGCUAAAAUUACAUUAAAACCAGUCAUGUCUUUUACAUCCAAUAACAGCAAGCCAGAAGCUCAUUCAAGGCCAAGGAAUCUGCUCAUAUUCUCAAUGGGUUGUGUUACAGUUUUUGACGAUGGAUUUUGCAAGUAGACUUUGAAUUAAGUGCUUAAAAUAAGUGAUUCUGAACCUGAGCAUGAGCUGAAAAACAGUAAGUUGGACUUAACAGAACCUAAAAUCAGUAGAACAAUGAGCAGGUAAAGACUUAGAAGUCAUAGCCUAGUGAUAGAUUUAAUUUACAUAAUAUGGCUUAGGUAAUUAAAAUAAUUAAAU